GGGGGGGCCGGUGGGUCAGGGAACGCUCGGGAUUCCCGUGCCCCUUCCCUGGGGGUGGGCCGGGGCUCUGCGGGCGGGCGGCCGGAGGCGUCUCUGCCCGCCCGUCCGCUGAGGCGGCUGCCGCGCCCUGUGGCCGCCUCGCUCCCGCUCGGCCCGGGGCCUGUGCCCGGGGCCGCCUCAGCGGGCUCCGGCCGCGCUCCCCGGGCGCUCGCUGGUAGAGGUGAUGACUCUUUCCCCGUCAGAGCGGCAGUGUUGACCAUCGCUUUCCAAGCCAGGGCGGCGGAGCCCAAGGCGCCUGCGGGAGCCCCGUGCCCGGAGCCAGGCCGGCCAUGAGGGCACUUCCCCGGCGUGCGCCGGCAGGCCCGAGCCUCUGCCGGGGCCAGGCGGGCACUGUGAAGGCAGAAGUGGGGGGGACGAGCCUUGGGGAGACCUGAAGUUCAGGCUGCAGCAAAGAGGUGUGUGAUGUGGGCAGUUGUUUGGUUUGCUCCACCAUGCCUGAAUCUCUAGCAAAUAAUGGGCACUGUGAAGGCAGAAGUGGGGGGGACGAGCCUUGGGGAGACCUGAAGUUCAGGCUGCAGCUGACAAUGAAGAGGUGUGGAUGAGGACAUUGUCUGGUUUGCUCCACCAUGUGUGCCCCUUUGUCAGGGGAGAAUGGUUGAGAUUUAUAAAAAGUUGUCCUGGGCCCUGCUGGAGUUUCAGUGUUCUGCUCAAGAUGGACGGUUCUGCUGCUGCCUGGGAUCCUCCUUCCAGCCCCAGCAUUCCCAUACCCUGCAAUAGCUCUGACCUCUCAGAGCUGUCAGGAGUGAUGAAUUUGUGUCCUGCCAGCUUAGAUGGAGGCUGUUGCAUUUUCUGUCCCCAGGGUACAAGGCAUGUAACUGGAAUGGAUUCUGGAACUGGCUGCAUGUUCAGUGCAGUUGGAUGCAUUUUUCUGCAGGGGCUGCAUUCCCUGCCUGGCAGCUCGUGUCAGAAAAGGCAAGGAGGCCUCUCCUGGAGCAGCUGUCAGUACGGGAGGUGGCCUUGUGGGCAAGGAAGGGUCAGGCUGUGGUUCUCCCCUGCUGCCCAGAAAGCUGCAGUGCUGUAUCCCUGGCAAGGGCACAGUGUGUUUCUGUACUGUUGGAAGCCUGGUUUUAAUAAAAUCUUGAUGAUGAGUGA